rnacentral:rRNA from 1 species
CAGUAGCCGCGGUAAUACGAGGGGGGCAAGCGUUGUUCGGAAUUAUUGGGCGUAAAGGGUGCGUAGGCGGUUCAGCAAGUCUCGUGUGAAAUCUUCGGGCUCAACCCGAAGUCUGCACGGGAAACUACUGGGCUUGAGUAAUGGAGGGGUGAGUGGAAUUUCCGGUGUAGCGGUGAAAUGCGUAGAUAUCGGAAGGAACACCUGUGGCGAAAGCGGCUCACUGGACAUUUACUGACGCUGAUGCACGAAAGCUAGGGGAGCAAACAGGAUUAGAUACCCCCGUAGUCCCUGUCUCUUAUAC